rnacentral:rRNA from 1 species
CUUUAGGCGACUGCGGAGGUCAUUAAUGAAUUUUGAAAGGGGUUGUAGCUGGCCUUUUCGUUUGAGAGGCAUCUUGUGCACACCCUGAUCAUUAUCCACAUUUAUACACCUGUGCACACACUGUAGGUUGGUUUUGCAAGGCUGUGCCUCUUCUGGUAUUAGCUUUGUGGGCCUUCCUAUGUUUUAUUACAAACCACUAUUGUCAAAAGAAUGUCUAUUGCAUAUAAUGCAUUUAUGUACAACUUUCAGCAACGGAUCUCUUGGCUCUCGCAUCGAUGAAGAACGCAGCGAAAUGCGAUAAGUAAUGUGAAUUGCAGAAUUCAGUGAAUCAUCGAAUCUUUGAACGCACCUUGCGCUCCUUGGUAUUCCGAGGAGCAUGCCUGUUUGAGUGUCAUGGAAUUCUCAACUCUAUUUGCUAUUUGUGAAUAGGGCUUGGACUUGGAAGUAUUGCUGGACUUUAGUGUUUCAGCUCUUCUUGAAUGCAUUAGCCUGAACCUUGUGUGGAUCAGCUUCAGUGUGAUAAUUGUCUACGCUGCCCUGUGAAGCACAUGCUAUGGGUUCUGGCUUCCAAUGGUCCUUUAUUGGACAACAACCUUUUAUGACCUUUGACCUCAGAUCAGGUAGGGUUACCCGCUGAACUUAAGCAUAUCAAAA